UACGGAGGGUGCAAGCGUUAAUCGGAAUUACUGGGCGUAAAGCGCACGCAGGUGGCUGAGUCAGUCGAUUGUGAAAGCCCUGGGCUUAACCUGGGAAUUGCAGUCGAUACUACUCAGCUAGAGUAUGGGAGAGGGUAGUGGAAUUCCCGGUGUAGCGGUGAAAUGCGUAGAUAUCGGGAGGAACAUCAGUGGCGAAGGCGGCUACCUGGACGGGUACUGACGCUGCAGCGCGAAAGCUAGGGGAGCAAACAGG
rnacentral:rRNA from 1 species